rnacentral:rRNA from 1 species
GUAGGGGUGCGAGCGUUAUCCGGAUUUACUGGGCGUAAAGGGGUUGCGUAGGCGGUCUAUUAAGUCAUUAUUCAAAUCUCUCGGGCUUAACCGGGAACAGGGUUUUGAUACUGAUAGACUUCGAGUCUUGGAGGGGUAGCCGGAACUUGCAGUGGAGCGGUGAAAUGCGUUGAGAUUGCAAGGAACACCGAUGGCGUAGGCAGGCUACUGGUCAAGUACUGACGCUGAUGCACGAAAGCUAGGGGAGCGAAAGGGAUUAGAGACCCCUGUAGUCCUAGCCGUAAAUGAUGGACACUAGGUGCUUGGUCUUAGGAUUGAGUGUCGUAAGCUAACGCGUUAAGUGUCCCGCCUGGGGAGUACGGCCGCAAAGGCUA